rnacentral:ncRNA from 1 species
UGAGAUAGAGGAUGCGUCGGGCUAAGAGUACGGCUUUCAGAAACUGCCAUGCAGGGCAGGAUUGCCGGAAAGGAGCAGACGCCGAGGAGAUCAUCGCUGCAGGGGUGAUAAAUCCGGGCGGACAGAAUAAGAUCUGUCCGACUGUCGCAUUAUUAUGCGGAGCGCUAUCC